GAAAAGGAAGAAUAUCACAGCUGUGAUGUCACUAGCAGAGCCCCUGGCAGAGCAGUGAAGGCUGCAGAGGCUCUGACUCUGCAGACGGCAAUGCUGAGCUGGGGCCUGGCCUGGCCUGCCUGACCUACCAUGGGCUCCAGGAUCCUCUGCUGUGUGGCCCUCUGCCUCCUGGGAGCAGGCCCCCUGCACUCAGGUGUUUCCCAGACUCCAAAAUACCUCCUGGCACAAGCUGGAGAGAAGAAGUCCCUUAAAUGUCAGCAAAAUCUGAGACACAAUGCUAUGUACUGGUAUAAGCAGGACUCCAAGCAAUUACUGAAAAUUAUGUUUAGCUACAAUAAUAAGGAAAUGAUUGUAAAUGAAACUGUUCCAAGUUGCUUCUCACCUGAAUCUCCAGACAAAGCUCACUUAAACCUCCAUGUCAAGUCCCUGGAGCCAGAUGAUUCUGCCUUGUAUCUCUGUGCCAGCAGCCAAGGCACAGCCCUGCAGAGUCACUGA